CUCCCAACUGAAUACGUGUGCUCUUAGUUGACGGAUUGGUGAGCUGUGGAGAGGCGACGACCAUGGCAGACGUGAAGCUACAAUGGUAGCAGCGGCCGGCGGUGGCGACUUGCCCAAUGGUGGCGGCUCCUGCGUGAGGCGCUCCUCCACAACCCGUGUCGCCUCCUCGCUGCAGGUUAUACCUUCCUGGACCUCUACUGCUUUCAAAUUAGAUCAAUACAAGGUGAAGUUAUUUAGAUCUGGUAGCACCAGUGGAUUGCAUGUAUAAAUUAUAUGAUGCAUUAUCAUUUUGAGGAAGACGUACAAUAUUGACAUGAUGUUGCAAGGCGGCACAUUCUGUGUCCGAUGAGCAUGCUAUUAUGUGA